rnacentral:rRNA from 1 species
GACAGAGGGUGCAAACGUUGUUCGGAAUUACUGGGCGUAAAGCGCGUGUAGGCUGCUUGGAAAGUCGGGUGUGAAAGCCCUGGGCUCAACCCAGGAAGUGCACUCGAAACUCCCGAGCUCGAGGACCGGAGAGGAAGGCGGAAUUCUCGGUGUAGAGGUGAAAUUCGUAGAUAUCGAGAGGAACACCUGUGGCGAAGGCGGCCUUCUGGACGGUUACUGACGCUGAGACGCGAAAGCGUGGGGAGCAAAC